rnacentral:rRNA from 1 species
AUGGGGGAGACCUGAUGCAGCCAUGCCGCGUGUGUGAAGAAGGCCUUCGGGUUGUAAAGCACUUUCAGCAGUGAGGAAGGUGGUGUACUUAAUAGGUGCAUGGCUUGACGUUAGCUGCAGAAGAAGCACCGGCUAACUCCGUGCCAGCAGCCGCGGUAAUACGGAGGGUGCGAGCGUUAAUCGGAAUUACUGGGCGUAAAGCGCAUGCAGGCGGUUUGUUAAGUCAGAUGUGAAAGCCCGGGGCUCAACCUCGGAACCGCAUUUGAAACUGGCAGGCUAGAGUCUUGUAGAGGGGGGUAGAAUUUCAGGUGUAGCGGUGAAAUGCGUAGAGAUCUGAAGGAAUACCAGUGGCGAAGGCGGCCCCCUGGACAAAGACUGACGCUCAGAUGCGAAAGCGUGGGUAGCAAACAGGAUUAGAUACCCUGGUAGUCCACGCCGUAAACGCUGUCUACUUGGAGGUUGAGGUUUAAAAUUUGGGUUUUCGGGCCUAACCCUUUAAUAAAACCGCCGGGGAAGUACGGCCCCAGGGUUAAACCUCAAAGGAUUUGACGGGGCCCCGCCAAGCCGGGGAGCCAGGGGUUUUAUUUCGAGGCACCGCGAAAAACUUUACUUAUUCUUAACUUCCGAAAACUUUUCCGAAAUGGGAUGGUGGCCUCCGGAACUUCUAAAACAGGUGCUGCUGGGCGGCCGUCGCUUCGGGUGGGAAAGGUGGGUUAAUCCCCGAACGAGCGCAACCCUUAUCUUGUUUGCAGCCCUAUGGUGGGAACUCUAGGAAACUGCCGGUGAAUAAACCGAAGAAAGUGGGACGACGCCAGUCAUCAUGGCCCUA